rnacentral:rRNA from 1 species
GAUGCCCCUAGCGGGAUGCUUUACACAUGCAAGUCGAACGGCAGCGGCAUGGACAAAUCCUUCGGGAGGCGACCAUGGCCGGCGAGUGGCGGACGGGUGAGUAAUGCAUCGGAAUGUGCCCAGUAGCGGGGGAUAACCACUCGAAAGAGUGGCUAAUACCGCAUAUUCUCUACGGAGGAAAGAGGGGGAUCUUCGGACCUCUCACUACUGGAGCAGCCGAUGUCGGAUUAGCUAGUUGGUGGGGUAAAGGCUCACCAAGGCAACGAUCCGUAGCUGGUUUGAGAGGACGACCAGCCACACUGGGACUGAGACACGGCCCAGACUCCUACGGGAGGCAGCAGUGGGGAAUUUUGGACAAUGGGGGGAACCCUGAUCCAGCCAUCCCGCGUGUAUGAUGAAGGCCUUCAGGUUGUAAAGUACUUUUNGACAGGGAAAAAACAACUCCGGCUAAAUACCCCGGAGCCCAUGACGGUACCUUGUAGAAUAAAGCACCCGGCUAAAAUACGUUGCCAGCAACCCCCGGUAAUACCUUUAGGG